AAUUAUCCUGUAGAUGAUCUCAACACAGCUCGAGGUUCUGAUGUAGCCACGCAAGCGCCUGGCCUCUACCAGUAUCCACUCGGGUAGGAUCUAAAAUAUCUUCUCCUCACAAAUCUAUGCUCUAAAAAUUAGAUCUAAAUCUGAUUAGGAAGAUCUUCAAAAAUCUUUCUAAACUUGGAGCAGCAGCCUAUCGAAGAAGUCUUGCAGCCUUCUGUUCCAGGCAUCACCAUGCCUUGGAUCUUUGCCAGAUGGACGUCCAACUCUUUGGACAUGAAGAGGGG
rnacentral:lncRNA from 1 species